ACCCGCCAACGAAACGAAGUAAGUUGUAUUUUCUCCACCUCGCUGCCGUGGAUGCGUUCCAAAAUUCAGCCUAUAAGGUUAUGAAAUAUGAAUAAAGCUACGUAGCAAUAUUAUAGCAAAGUUACACAUGUCAGAAUUUUAGAUGAUCGAUGGCAGUAAUAUGAACGUGGACAGCAGUGACUCGCCGGUGUAAGACACUCCAGAGAGACCCUAUUCUACAUGAAUCAUCACAUCGAGGACAGGUCAAGAUGCAAAAGCGGAACUAUAUGAAAGGGGAAAGGGAGCUUGGUGAUGGUGGACCCCCUUUUUGCUUUAGUUGUGAAAGGGUCUUUCCAGACCAAACGUCAUUUCAUGACCACUUUUGUCCUGCGGCUGGUUUCAUCUGCUCCUGUGGAACAGAGUUCUCCAUGUAUGUUGAUAUGAUGGACCACAGUGGGUUACAUGAACCAGGCCACACUGUAAUUAAUUAUAGCACCAUAAAGAAGGAACAAUAUCAGAGGGAGAGAGAGUACAAGGAGCAGCUUUCGAGGCUGGUAUUGACGGCGGGGCAGGGAAGCUGGGCUAAGCCUGGACCGACUCCGAUGCUAUCGGCCCCUAUUCCACGAGCCACAAAGCCUCCACCUGGUCCAAGUGCCCCAACAACAGACCUCUGGCACCAAUUCCAGCCAGUGGUGUUGGUGGAGACCCUGCGCAAGUUUGGAAGGACAAAGCCCUACAGGUGUGCCUACUGUGAACUGGGCUUUGCAACAAAAGACUUACUCGUAUGGCACCACAACACUCACGCAAGAAAUACAGUCCAUGGCUGCCUGCGGUGCGGGGUUCUCCUGCUCAGUAACAACAAGUCACCACAGCCUGGCCACCACCAGUGUGGCUCAUAUCGGGCAACUCCUGAAACCAGAUUCACCACUGCCACAGUGCUGAGCAACAGGAAACAGCCCGCGGGGUAUGCUAAGAAGGUUGUCCAGCGUCAGCCGUGUCCGGACCCGUUCAGUGGGGAGCUGCAGCUAGGGAUGCAUAUGGUCUCACAGCAGCCCAUUCCAGGGACUUCUGGAACAAAAUACUUGAAGUGUAGAGUGUGUCAGGAGCCCUUCCAAACUGUCAAGCUGCUUGAGAGGCACCGUUGCACAAUGGCGGCAUCCUUUUUUGCACAGGAACUGGGUCUGAUGUCUGGCAAACAGCUCAAUGGUCACAGAAAAGGGGAGGGGACCAGCCCAUACUCCUUGCCUCAAAGCAAUGGUGACCAGGAGCUGGCGUUCAACAUUCAAACUUCAACGAAUGUAACUGUAUACGACCACAAGGCAGUAGGCCCGGAUAGGGGCACAGGGUUGUCUGCCGUUUCUGUAAAGACUGAGGUUUCAGACGAUGACUGUUUUGUGAUUGAGGAUGCGUUUUCGUGCUAGUCGGAACUAGGAAACUCUGAAAUUUCCGACUUGCUAACUGGUUGAACACAGCAUGUGUAUAAAAACCAGUUAGUAAGUCGGAAAUGUCCGUGUUUCCUAGUUCCGACUAGCACGUGAAUGUGGCAUAAAAGCUCCUUCACCAAACCAGGUCAGUUGUUAUACCAACAAUUAACCUCUUCCCUCCCAGUACUACAGACAUGAACAGUGCAAAAAGCAUUCCCAAUGUGAACCCUCUGCAUCUGCCACGGACAUAAACAUCUUCUAUGGGUUAUGGGUAUGGUCCCUUUUUGUAAGGUACCGGCUUAACUCUUAUCUAACUACUCAAUUUACAACUAAUCUGUCAGUAGCCUAGAUUUUAUUUUUUACCUUGAUUUUAUUUUUCAGUUGUGUGUUUGUCAAAUGACAUUGAAAAUGUUACAUAUGCAGUAUCAAAUCAGUCUGUAUGGUUCAGAUAACCACAAACAUAGUUUGUCUUUUGAAAAUGCGCUUGUUUUUUUUACAGUAGCUUUACUGAAAAUGUGGUAUAAGCAGCAUUGGCCAUAUCACAAGAACAUGUUGGUUCUUUCUAGCCAUUUCUCUGGUCUUGGAAUAAAAUAUUUUUUUGUUUCCGCUCUCUCCCUUUCUUUUGUAGCAACUAAAGUGUAAUAAUCUGUGUGUUCUCCGUAUUUCAGGGACCAAAGCAAUAGCAGCAGCCAUAAGUGAUAGCUGGAAAAGGCUAUAAGGACACUCCUGAUCUGCAAAACAUUUAUUUUUCUCCAGAAUUACUUAAAUUAGGUUACGGUUAGAGGUAGGUUUUAAGGUAAGAGACCGUUUUAGAUUUUGGUUAGUAGUUUUACAAGUCAGGGUCUGUUAUAGCCUCUGCCAAGAGAGCGUGAUGGAUAUGUAGGUAAUGUAUUCACUGAUUGCUUGGGAUAGCUCUCUGACAUAGUUUGUCACUUGUGAAUGCACAUAGCAUACAAAAAUAGGGGUUAGUCGUCGUAGAAUAUUUUGCCACCUCAUGAGAAUUGUAUUAUCACUGCACACAGUUUUUGGGUGAACUUGUUAUUUUUUUACCCGGUUGUCCAUCUUUGAUGAGGUAGGCAGGCAUCGCGACACCAUUUCCGGCCUACCGGAUGUUGAGUGAGGAGAAAAAAAACAAUUGAAUCACGAAUACAAUAAGCUAACAUUUAAAAUUAUGGCACACACCACUGUAUCUCAACGUUGGCGAAAACAUACAUGUUAUGUGCAAUGCAUUAUUUAUAAAUAUUGAUAUUUUGUCGGGUUUGGACUACAAAACGGUAUGUUGACAUUAGCUAGCUAGCUUUCAUCACGUCGACAGCUAUCUAACUGGUGAAUCGAGAACAAGUUUGCACUAACACAUUUUUGGGUACCUGGGGACAGUAGUGGGGGUUACCUGGCUAGUUUGUGGUGGAAGAGGAGACGUGUGGUUUGAACAAAAGCUGGUUGAUCGUUCUUGCCUGGGCUGUUAUUGGAGGAUCUACGUUGAACAUUUAUCUUUUCCUCAUCAGUCCCGCCAGAGAGCCUGCCUAAAAAUAAAGACACCAUCUGAAGAGAAGAUCAGCAAGGAGGUAGACAACUGCCAUAACAUGCCCCCAAUGAAGGAGCCCUUACAAAGACCCCAACUACAGAGAGAAAGUAAAAGCCAACAGAACAAAGUGGUAGCUGAACCCUCUGACACACGGUCACUACCAGGUACCCCUGUUUCGGUUGUCCAUCCUAAUUCCAGAAAGGUAAACUCUGGUGACAUUAAUCACAGAAGAAAGCUCACAAAGACCCAGGCAAAUAUGGAGAAAAUGCAUGUUAAUUCACCUGCUACUGGUCAUGGUAGAACUCAAUUUGAAAGUGCCAAUCCUGAAGUGCAUUUAUCACUUACUGGGAGUGAGCAAACAUUGAACUGUAUCACAAAGGAGCUGGUGGGUGUAACAAGGCCAGCAGCGGUAGACGUUAGGAAACGUGGUCGCCCUCACAAGAAGGCAAAGAUGCUGCAUACUGUGCUACAAACAGUGGAGAGUUCUUCUCAUCUGAGCACUGCAGAAUCAAAGGAUUGGAUUGAAACAAUGUCUGACAGAGCGAAUGCUAUUUCUUUUACUACAAACUGUGUAGAAAACAGGGAUGACAUGUCUCUCAGAGCUAUUGAAACAAAAGCAAUACCUCUAAACUGUGAACCAAGCAAUACAGCGGUGUCUGUUCUUGACUUGUCCCCCCAAGACCAUCAACCAGCUGAAUCCAGCCCUGUGGCUAUCUCACCCUUGGAACCAAAAAGAAAAAGGGGACGACCAAAGGGGUCGACCAAGAAACGACCAGGAAAAACCAUGAACACUAUUUCAGUGCAACAAUCCCAUGUAACAGAAGAAAAAAAUGUAAUUAAAAAGGAACCUGAUGAGAUGCUAUCUGAAAAGGAAAAGAGAGGAAACAUUGGUCCUCAGCCUGAGGAAACUCCUGUUGAGCCUAAACACAGAGUAGGACGACCACCAAAGAAAACAACACUCGUGAGGCAGUUUGCAUUAGCACAGAGAAAGUCACAGAGAAAAUCAUGUUCUAUUACAGCAUCUGUGAAUUCUCAGGAUAUUACACCACAACAUCAGAAGAUUGAGACUGAGCGUUCAGAUUAUAUAGCAAGGCAUGUGUCUGUGUCGCUUAGUCGCGUUGAUUCUCAGAGAGGUGGUAGGUCAAGUGGGACUGCUGACAUGAUCUCUAAUGUGAAGUGUGAGGAUAUUGAAAUAGAGCUGGGGGAUUUUAAUUCCCUGGCACAGUCAAAUUGUCUCAUGUCUUUUCAAUGCCAAACUGACACCAGUGUGAAGGUUGAGCCCUGUAAUACUAGUUGUGAAGGCACUGAAUUCAAAAAGCCACUCAAAGUUGACAAAUGCAGAGGAACUGCUGGCACUGCUCCCAGAAAGCGAUCCCGGUUUGUUUUUGGAAAAACUAAAUACAAAAAAGGAAAGAGGAAAAGGUUCAUUGAUGCUAGAGGUAGACUCCAAAGUGUGAUCUCACAGGGAGAUCCAGACACCAUGUCAAAGCAGGUCGAUGAAGGCAAUGGUGAUGUUGGAAAGGAGAUGGACUGUGGCGAGUCAGCUUGGGAGUAUGAGGGCAACACAAAUGACAGCUUUUCAAAUGGAAGUAAGUCAACAGAUGAAGGAUUUAAAGAUUUGCCUGAGAGUCACCAAAAUCCUAUCGUCACUGAUGUAAACAUAUUAGAAACUAUGUCGCAUGAGUCCUUUUCGAAAUCAGAUGUCGUACAAGGUGAAGAAUUUACAAGUAAGAAAAUCAAGAAAGAGAGAGAUGGUGUAGGCGAUGAAACUGAAUAUAACCCAACAAGCAGUUGUCCGAAGGCUAGGGGUCGACCAAAAGGGAGACCAAAAGGCACAGGGAAAACGUGUGAGUACUGCGGACGUCAUUUUGAUUUUGUGUCUGUAUAUACCGUCCAUCUACGCACUCAUACAGGCGAAAGGCCCUAUAAGUGCAUUGAUUGUGACCAAGACUUUGCCCAGCUAUCUAACUUAAAAAGUCAUGUCAAGAAACAUAACAAGCGCUGUCAGCCUCUGAAGUGUCCUUAUUGCAAAAUGAAGUUCAGUAAUUCAGAGGAAUUGCUUGCUCAUUGCAAGUGGCACUCGCAGAACCCGAACCAGGACUCUGAGUCUGGGAGUAAAACGAAGGAUAACAGAAAAGAGGCCACUCAUACACCCCUUGUUUCUCUGAAAGAAAGGAGAAAAAGGGGAAAGGGGGGGAUACUCAAAUGCCACAUUUGUGGGAAAGUAUUUCCCUUUUGGUCUGGUCUGCAGGUUCAUAUACGUAUGCACACUGGGGAAAAACCAUAUAUCUGUAAAGUAUGUGGGAAAGCCUUUAGUAAUCGCUCAUCAAUUCGUAUUCAUGAGGUGACACACUGGUCCAUUAAGCCUUACAACUGCACAUGGUGUGGAAAGAGUUUCACUCAGUUGUCGUCUGCAAAAAAACAUCCCUGCAAGGGUCUGAGGGAGAGUAAUGACAGAGGGAGCCGGAAGAAGCCUUUCAUAUCUUUUACAUGCCACAUCUGCGAAGAGAGAUUUGUUCAGAGGCGUCAGUACAAAACCCACCUGAAAACCCAUGCUGGUGUGAAGCUCUUUCGCUGUUUAUUCUGUGACCAGCUGUUUAGUGUGAUGUCAGAAUUUGAAGAGCACCACCAAUAUUGCACCAAAGUUAGGGGGGAGAAGAUGACAUCCAAAUCUGAAUUUAGGAUUUGGAAACCUAGAGCCCCUAAUCAGCAAAGCUCGCAGCAACCAAGUGUCAAGAGUCAUUCACCAGUCACCCAAUUAGUAUUUCCUGCAGCUGCAGAUAGUCAACCAUUUCAGAACCUUGGACAGAGUUCAGCUUCCUCUGCCUCGUUGCUGAACUGUGAACCUAACUCGCAGCAAAAAAAAAGUGGUCGUCUGUCUUCACAAACACAUCCCAAUAAAGACAUUGCUACAACUCUGCGCCCCUUCCAAACAUGCAUUAUACCUACAAACAAUCUCACCCCACUUGUAUCAAAGUUGAACAGUCUAGAUCGUAAAUCUGACCCGAGGAAGUACUUAUGCCCACGUUGUGGAAGACUUUUCAGACACACAGGAAGACUCCGAGCCCACAUGCUAACUCAUGCCCACAGUCAGAGCUACACCUGUGACUGCUGUGGAAAGACCCUGGAAAGCUGGAAAAAGCUUUGGCUUCACCAGCGAAUCCACAGACAGAAACUAGGACGGUUCUCAUGUCCAAAGUGUCGCCAAGGUUUCCGCUUCGUUGGGCCCUACAAGCAGCACAUGCUGCGAGAACACCCUGAGUACCAGUGGAUCGAUGAGAGACCAAACAAAACUCUCCAAGGACUUGAACAGCAGCAGUGCCUGCCUUAUCAAUGUGAGGAGUGCAACACCAGCUUCAGGACACUAGAUUUGCUUUUCAAUCAUCAGCUUUGCCAUUCCUCACCAGGUGACCACAGUAUGUGGAUACAGGACGACUGCUAUGAUUACUCUCCCUCGACACAUGAACAUGAUGUACCUUCCAACGUGAAUGGAUUUGACCCUCACAUGAACAGUGGAGUAACACACUCCCAUCAGGAACUCCACCAUACCUACUACCCUUCUCCGCCUCUUCAAGCAAACCACCCACGAGGUUCACAUCUCCUUCAUUACUUUUCCAAUCAUUCAGACCUACUACAUUCACUGUCACCCCUUAUACCUGUGCCUCCCCCAAUGCAACACCCAGGUUUCCAACCAGGCCUCCAGUUAUAUGACUCCACCCAGCUGCUCACAAGCCCUCUAUCACCACUGUACUCACAGGUAGAGACCAUUCCAAACCCUGACAGAAAAGAUGGGAAUGUAAACAGGAAGCAGAGUAGAAUUUAUGGGAAUGCGACUAAACGUGCUGCUAGAUCCAAGGAGGACAAGGCGACAAUGGGGGGGUUGGAUUGUGCGGAGUGUGGUGUUCAGUUUCCUGCUGUCUCGCAACUCUAUGAGCAUUAUUUGCAGCAUGCCAGGGGAGAGGUGUAAGAAAUUAAAAUGAGGGACCUUUUUCUAACACAAAGGCACGUUAUCCUCCCAUCUCUUUCUCAGAGGUUUAUCAGUUUAGAAAUGGCUUAUAGGUCAACUAACAAAAGCGGCAUUUUUAACACAUUGUUGUGUUAAAUGUUGUAUGUAUUGAUGUGUUUGAGUGAAUAUUCUGUUGAAUGGAGAUUGUUACUCUGGUUGCUUGUUGGUCGUUAGGGAAGCUGAUUACUUUUGGUUGUUAUUCGAUUUACUUACACUAUGAUCAAUUUUAAGUUGACAGUAUUUUUUUUUUUUUUGGCGGGUGUCCCUUAAUCUGAAAAGAUGGUCAGUGCUUUUAUACAUUUGAGUAGCUGUAGCAGGUUUUGAGACGAGGACAGAUCAUGGCCUGCAAUCUAUUUUUCAAUGGAAGUUUGAGUGUAAAUUGCUAUGCUUGAUCAUGGAACAUUGUCAUACCUCUUUUUGUCAUUGUUAACCUCUUACUACUGUCAGACUCUGAUUCUCAACUGAUGAAAAAUAAUGUUGUAAUUUAGCCUGCCAAUACAAGUGAUUAACAUACCUUUUUAUUUUGUCCAUUUAUUUCAAAGAAAAUUAGAAACCUCGUAUUUUGCAAGUUAGUCAUUUAUUCUAUGGUUAAGUGUUGAUUUGUAACUUAUGCAAGAAAAAUAUUUUCACUGCCAAUACUCUAGUCGUUUUACCUAAUAGGCCUACAUUCCCUCAUGUUUACAGAAAGUUAUUUUGUUUAGAAAAGCAGUUCUUGUUCUGUUGCUGAUGAACUGACAGCUGUUUACAUACUGUAUAUUUUACUUUCUAGUUUCACUCAGUUAUUGUGUCAGAUAAAAAUAAAAGCCACCUUUCUAAUGUUGUGCUUAUUUCAUUUCAGACAUAUAGCCUAGCACAAGUACAUAUGUAGGCCAACAGGACACAUGUCAUAUGGGAUUCACUUGCUGGUUUGAAUUAUUUUGUUGUAGAAUGCCCUUUUGAAGGCACUGUUGACUGUAUUGAAUGGUAAUGUCGUUUGCUCACUGUGGAGAAAAAACUAACUUUCCCCAGAUGAUGGGGAGUCAAUGUAAGAUUUAACAUUUUUCAAGACUUUAACUUUGAAAUCAGAUUGAUGUGUUAUGGACUACAUUUUAAUUUGAAGACAUAUGUGAGACUAAUUUCAAUUGUACUAUUCAGGGAUUGUGUUUUUUUGCGCCCUUAUGUAUAGUGUGAAAUUGUGAUAAAGCUUUAUUUUAAUGGUGAGGCGCCGCUAAUAGUUUUUUACGGUUGCAGACGACAGAAUGGGGCGUGGUCCAAAUGGGCGGCAGUAAAUCAGUCACGCCACGGUCAAAACAUUGGGGUGAAAAAAAAAUGUUCUUCACAAUCCCACCAUCGGAUGCGCACCGGUUGACAUCAAACAUGGAGAACAUGCAUAUAAUUUAGUUAUAAUGCAAAUAUGUUUAUUCUACUGCAAACAAGAGAUGUAGUUUACCGGUAUCUUUGAAGUAUUUUAUACCCGCGCAUUAAACCGCAAGGGACAGAGAGAGGAUCCAUUGAAUCUUGAGGAGCAGCCAAGAAUACAAUAGGAUGGAGACAGUAUGUGGUAAAGGAGCGACAUUGGAUGGUGACAUGCUGAUGGUCAUCGUUAAACAAGAGGAAGAAGACCAUAUGGAGCAGAUGUCCAAUGGUCCACUGUCAUCUGACACGCUCAUCAAACAGGAGCAAGAGGGCCUAGAACAAGGCACUACAGCUCCAGGCGACCAACUCCCUGAGGAAACCGACACCCUGGAAGAAGCAGAGGAGGAGAAAAAGAGGAGGAAGGGAAAGACCGAAGAGAGGUUCUGGUCUGCUGUUGAGACUGAGGAUGUCUCUGGGUCAGACUCCAGUUGGUGCUGCAGACUGUGUCAGCGCUGCUUCAGUUCCUCCUGGCAGCUGACGGGACACUGUUGUACUGGCAUCGCGGGGGAGGACGGGGUCGCCCACGGCCACAAGGUCAAACUGGAGUUCCGGUGCCCAGUGUGUGGCGACCGCUUCCUCCGCCCCACAGCCUUCAUCAUGCACAAGCGCAGUCACAUGGGCCAGUCCCAGUACGUCUGUGGGGUCUGUGGACGGACGCUCAAGAGCCUACGCAAGCUGUCCUCUCACAAGCGCUCACACUCCCGCCGCCGCGGGACUGUGGCUGAACGACAGCAGUGCCAUGACUGCAGCCAGAGCUUCUGCAACUUGACGGCACUCAGAAGCCACCGGGAGAGACAGCAUGGAGAGGAGAGGAACUGUAAGGAUGAGGAGGACAGUGAGGUGAGAGAGGAAGAGGAGGGAAGCACUGCAGUAAUCUCUAAUGAUUCAACCAGAGUUUCAGCCCAGCCUCCCCAAUCUCCUCAGUGCCACCAGUGUUUCAUGACCUUUCAGGAUGCAGAGACAGAAGAGAGGCAUUUACGCUUCAAGCACCCAGUAGAGUAUGAGAGACAUCUCAGAGGUCGCACAGUGUUUGCCUGCUGUGUCUGCGACCGUACAUUCCCCUCCUCCCGCCUGCUCUCAGCUCACCAACGCACCCACAGCAAGUGGAGUCUGCCCCCCACUGUCCCAGAAGACUCUGUCCAAGAAAGCACAGACGGAGGAGAGUCUGAGGGUGUGGACAAUGAAAAAAACAGAGCUGGUCCAACAAGCUGUGAGCACUGUCACAUCAUCUUCAAUGACCCUCGAACCUGGGAACGUCACAUGACGGCCAAGCACCCCCCAUCCCUGUCGACACCUACUUCACCAGGGAAUGCCUACCUGACUUCUAGACCUGCCAGGGGUCAACUACGACCCUAUCGCUGCUCCUCCUGUGGAGAGAGAUUCAUACAGGAAAGCACCCUGACCAAACACUGCACAGAGGCACACGCCAGCUGAGAGAGGAUGGUUCUGGGAGCAUAGAUACCAAGAUGAAGAGGACAAGAGAGAAUAUGUCUAGAUCAAUUAGUUGGAGGACAUGGUGCUGCUGAUCCAGGAUUUGUAGUUGCAGACCUUGGUGUAGACACCAGGCUUGUUCCUCUGGGCACAGCCGUAACCCCAGGACACAACACCCUGCAGCUGACCAUUGCACACCACGGGGCCACCGGAGUCUCCCUAAUAGAGCGAUGGGGAAACAGAAAUUAAAGUCGCUGUCCUCAUUGAGGAUAACAGGAUUUUCGGAGGGUAUGAGUGCAGAAAGAACUCUGCAUCCUACCAGGCAUCACUGCAGUCUGGUUACCACUUCUGUGGUGGCUCCCUGAUCUCCAGCACAUGGGUGGUGUCUGCUGCUCACUGCUACAAGUCAUAUGUGACUGAUGAACAUUUCUUCAAAAACAUUGACAGUAUGUUUGACAUUAAACCUUUUUUGUACAUCUGAUUAACCCUCCCAGCCACAUUCAGGUGUGUCUACGUGACCACACAACAUUGUCGUCAACGAGGGCACUGAGCAGUUCGACUCAGGGAAGGUCAUCAUGCACCCCAGUUACAACAGCCGCAACCUGGACAACGACGUCAAGCUGAGCAUGCCCGCCUCCCUGAACAGCUACAUGUGCACUGUGGUCAUGCCCUGCCGCUGUGCCAGCUCUGGCACCCACUGUAUGGGGCAACCUACCCAGCAGAGCCUUCUACCCCGACCAACUGUUCUGCCUGGAUCUCCCCAUCCUGAGCAGCGGCAACAGCACCUACCAUGGACAGAUCAACUCCACAUGUUCUGCGCUGGCUUCGUGGAUGGAGGCAAGGACUCUUGCCAGGGAGACCGUGGUGUGCAAUGGGCAGCUGCAGGGUGCUGUGUCCUGGGGUUACAGUUGUGCCCAGACUAAGAUCUGCAACUCCUGGAUAAGCAGCACCAUGUCCUCCAACUAAUUGAUUUAGACUGGAAGAGACCCAUGAUAACUGGUAUGAGAAAAUAAAAACACCAUUCUUUAAAGUGCAUUACUAUGAGUGCAAUAUGUGCUUUUAGGAAAGUAUGAAACAGGUAUCUGGCUAGUGCUUAUUAUGUCUAACUUGUAAAGCAAGAGUUGCAGACAACAGCUCAAUCUGUUCAAUGCCAAUUGUGCACUGUUAGCUGGUGAGCCGUUUCCUGGAAACUUAAUGAUAUGAGAAUGAACAAUUGUCAGUGGAAAUAUGAUAACACAUGAACUAGAAACUGCAAUAGACACGAGUAGAACAUGCUUUGGUUUCUCUUCAUAGGUUAAUUCAUGGAAAUUACACAAAUGUAGUCUUUCAGUUGUACAGAAAACAUUUUAAAAUGUAGAAUGUUGACAAUAUGCAUACAAUGAACCUAAAUGUGGAGCAUUCCAAUUGUGUAGCUAUUUAGCUAAGACAUAAUGAAUAAAGGUUUGUGUUCGUUU